rnacentral:rRNA from 1 species
CCUACGGGAGGCAGCAGUGGGGAAUUUUGGACAAUGGGCGCAAGCCUGAUCCAGCAAUGCCGCGUGAGUGAAGAAGGCCUUCGGGUUGUAAAGCUCUUUUGUCAGGGAAGAAACGGCUGAGGCUAAUAUCCUCGGCUAAUGACGGUACCUGAAGAAUAAGCACCGGCUAACUACGUGCCAGCAGCCGCGGUAAUACGUAGGGUGCAAGCGUUAAUCGGAAUUACUGGGCGUAAAGCGUGCGCAGGCGGUUUUGUAAGUCUGUCGUGAAAGCCCCGGGCUUAACCUGGGAAUUGCGAUGGAGACUGCAAGGCUUGAAUCUGGCAGAGGGGGGUAGAAUUCCACGUGUAGCAGUGAAAUGCGUAGAGAUGUGGAGGAACACCGAUGGCGAAGGCAGCCCCCUGGGUCAAGAUUGACGCUCAUGCACGAAAGCGUGGGGAGCAAACAGGAUUAGAUACCCUGGUAGUCCACGCCCUAAACGAUGUCUACUAGUUGUCGGGUCUUAAUUGAUGUACGUCAGCGUACGCGUGAGUAGACGCCGCGGGUAAGGUACGGUCGUUCGAGUAGUUAAACGUUAACGUAAGAAGUUAGAGGCGNGAGACGNGCGACGGACGACGACGAGGGAGGAGG